UACGGGGGGAGCAAGCGUUGUUCGGAUUUACUGGGCGUAAAGGGCGCGUAGGCGGCCACCGCAAGUCAGUUGUGAAAUCUCUGGGCUUAACCCAGAACGGUCAGCUGAUACUGCGGGGCUAGAGUGCAGAAGGGGCAACUGGAAUUCUCGGUGUAGCGGGGAAAUGCGUAGAUAUCGAGAGGAACACCUGCGGCGCAGGCGGGUUGCUGGGCUGACACUGACGCUGACAGCGCGAAAGCCAGGGGAGCAAACGGG
rnacentral:rRNA from 1 species